rnacentral:rRNA from 1 species
UUGAAAGGGAAACGAUUGAAGUCAGUCGUACCAGCGGAUAAUCAACCUUUAGAUGCGAUUUUAUGGAGUGUGAGGAGCUAAUCGCCUUCAUGCCUGUAUAUUCGUAUACUUGGGGUGUACUUAUUCGUGUGGUAAGUUAACAUCAAUUUUGGUUGUCAUAAAAUGAUUGGAGGAAUGUAGCUUCGAUUUUGUAUUGAAGUGUUAUAGCCUUCGGUAGAUGUGACGAUCGGGAUUGAGGAUUGCAAGGGAUACCCUUCGGGGCUACCUGUCUGAUCUCUGAUUGUUGCUCUGGUGCUGAAAGCUUGCUUAUAGUAUCAAAGUCGAUGGUCAAUAGGUUAGAAUGGGUUAAAUUCGUUAAGGAUGUUGACGUA